UGAUGAUGAUGAUGAUGAACCAAUUUAUUUAACCAGGGAUACUCGUGAGCAGGAAUAUGAUGAUGAUGAUGAUGAACCAAUUUAUUUAACCAGGGAUACUCGUGAGCAGGAAUAUGAUGAUAUUGAUGAUGAUGA